AAUUACUAAAACUUUAACUUAAAUUAAUAUGUAAAUAAAAAAUAGAAACUGAUCAAAGAACAUUGAAAAUUAACAUUAACAUUGUAAUGUUUUUUUAUGUUCAGGAUUCUAAAGGUCUGCUGUAUUGAAAAUGAAAAUUUGGGAGAAAAAUGUAAUAAAUGUCAUGAAAAUUAUGUAACAAUGCAUAAACUUAAUGGACCAAAAAUAUAAAGUAGGUUUAAUUUUCUUUGAGCAUAAUAAAUUUCCUUACUUUUUCUUUUGGCAUCCAAACGUUGAAUGAAAAUGAGGCAGCAUAUUUUUAAUGUUUCAUGCAGUGCAAUAUCAGCUGCUAUUGUUGAAGUGAACUAUUUAUCAUGAAAAAAUAUUACGAGUGUAAUUCUUACCUUAGCCUUUCUUGAUGGUGAUGAAGAGAAGUGGAUGCAAAGGUCAGAUAGCUGGUGCAUUGUGUUCACACGAAUAAUGUUUGUAGGGUUUUGAAAAGAAGGACCAACUUUUGCAACUUUUGUGUUUGUUUGAAUGUGGUCCUCUUGCCCUGAAGUUGAGUACCUUUAAUCUAAGUCUGCAUCUACAGGGAUGCUUUUAGUCAGUUUACAUGUUUAGAGCUGUGAUGUACAGUACAAAUACCUUAUGGACCUUCUUCAGUAAACUGUAUGUUAGCUCUGAUAGUGGAUUAUCUUCAAGACCACAUGAUGAUGGUUGUCUUGCUGUGUGGAGUUCUCAUUGUUGGCUUCAUUUGUAGUUGUAGGGCAGGAGUCCUGGAUAUCCAGCAGCAGUCUUCAGCAUCACGCAGAGGAAGAGCUGGUCACUGUGCUGAUGAACGCUCGGCCCGUCAGUAGCACCCCUUGUCCCCUCAAACCAGGCCGUAGCAGAGUGUCAUCACACAGGCUGUGUUUCUCAGGCACCAUAAACAUAUGUUCUCCCAUCUCUUCUCGGCCCCUGAGUGCCGGGACUCAUCGGCCGCUGUCUCUUGCUGCUGAGGAGAUCAUGGAGGUCCAGACCGUGGAGCAGCUCGAUCUCCAGGACUCUGAUGAAGAUAGGGAGGAUUGCCUGGCUCUGGCCUGCCUUGAGGAAGAUACCAAACAUAUGAGCACUACACCAUUAGAUGAGGGAUUAUUGACAGGGUCACUCAGAUGAAGAGGAGGAGAUCUUCAUCAGGAAUGCAGGUCUGAUGACCUGAGACUGAUUACAGCACUAUCACUAUCCUCCUGAAAUCCAGCCAAUCAAAGUCAAAUCCUGCUGUCCUCCCAUGCUACCAUACACCUUAUUUUUGUUGUAAAUUGCGAAAAUGUUCAGCUUAUUUUCACAGAAACUGUUUUGAGAGAUUCACAGGCUGGAUUCCUCCUCCCUCACCGCUGUGCUCUGGAGCUGGAUGCUGGGAAAGUGCUGCUUUAGUCACUGGUAAAGUAUCCGCUAAAUGACAAGAAUCCAAUUGCCGUUUUAACUUUUCUAAUUAGCUGCUUAUGGCUUGACAGGGUUCGUGAGGGUUCUGGAGGAAGAGAAGAUGAAAGCAUUGAAGACUGCAUGAAGCAGCAGUGUGCAAAUGAAGGCAUGGAAAGCAGAGGGAUUUCCCCUACAGAGAGAGAAUCCGCCACUGGUCACUGAGUGCAGACAGGAAACCAUUAGCGCUGACAUAAGUGCUCCCGCCGGACACACAGAGACAGAGACAUCAGGCGAGCUGAACAGAGUCAGUACUAGAUGAGCCUUGAAUUCAGUUGGGCUGCAUUUGUAAUGGCUAUAUUCAAUAUAAAAUGUCUUUAAAAUCAAACAUUUUAAAUGUGUUAUUAUUUUGCCUAUUUAUUGUAUUAUUCAAACCAGGGCUUCUCAAAUAUUUUUGUCAUCUGAGUCCAUUAGAUAUAAAAUAUUUACUUGAAGCUUCCACUGGGAUUUAAAACAACAACAACAACAACAACAAAACAAAACAAUAAUUUAAGAAACAUUCACAUGUUCAUGGUUCUCUGAUGUUGGCUAAUUGUCACACUGACAUACAAAUAAACAGAUAGAAUAUUGUUUUUAUAGUUUCAUAUAUCUUUUAAGUAGAAAUAUUUACAUUUUAUAUUUUUUUUUAUUAUUUUGAUGUGUUUUUAUUUGUUUAUUUUACAAUUUUUAUUAUUUUAAAUUAAUUAAUUUAUUCAUAUAUUUAUUUACACAUUUAUUUAUAUGGUUGCUUCACGUUCUUUUUCUUAUUGUUAUAUUAUUACAUCUACUGUAGGUAGAUUUGUUGGUAUAUUAUCAAAUUUACACACAGUAGAUUUUACUUAUUAUUAUUUGCAAUUGCCAUUUUUCCCAGCUGUCAUGUUAUCAAUUUUCCAUUCAUCUUCUCCAUAGAAAUUUUGACAGUUUAUUUUUAAAUAAAUGAAGUUCAAGUCUAAAAUUGUAUGGUUUCAGAACAUUGCCAUUUUUUUAAACAACUUUAGAAGUCAUAGAAUCUGUCUUGAAAGGUUCAUACAUUAACAUUACAAAUCAAUCUCUCUAUGGUGAUUUUGAAUGACAUUUUUACUUUUGGAACCCUACUGAUGUUCUCUGAAGCACUUAAGAUAAUUUAAAAAUACCAGAAAGAAAUAAUAACAGAUCUGGAGGCUCAAAAUGACCAGCUUUUCCGUUGUCUCCCAUCCUGAUGCCUUCAUAACUGCUGAAAGUGAGGAUGAACUCGGUCAUCGUUCUCCCAGGACAGCUAGUUCCUGCAGCCGUGGACUCAUGAUCUCUGGAAAUAAUGCCUUUUAUAGUUCUCACCCUUCACUGGGUCUGUAUUCUCAGAGCAGACACAAGAGAUGCGGCCCGUGACCCGCUUCAUUGAUUCCUAUCAGAGACAGGCUUGCAGAGGCAGCGUAUGAAAGUGCCCGUUGUGACGGAUACACGCUAUUACAUUUUUAAAACACACUGUUGUCUUUUUUUACCGCACUCUCACUUUUCACUCUCAAUGCAUUGUGGGAAAUAGCUGCUGGGGUUUUAGCACUCAUACAAGAUUUUGCCCAGAGGACACACACACCACAUAGAAUAUUUUUACUCCAUAUUUUUGUCCUGCCUUGUACCUGCUAUAUAUAAAUGUUCAAAUAUAUAUAUUCAAAAUGCUGAAGUGGGAGUUUUGGACUCGGACUCCAAUUAUGAAUCGCACUGGAGAGGACUUGAACUUGACAUGGACUCUGACAUUUUGGACUCCAAUACAGUCAAAUUCAUGUCAUGUGUAACAAGAAAGAUCAAAGUAACAAAAUGAAAUUUAGAUAAGACAUUAAUAAAUGUCUCUCACUCAAACUCACUUUGAUCCUUUGCUAAGACCUGCCCCCUUCAUUAGCUGUUGCUCUGUGUCCGAAAAGCAAUGCUGCUCUCAUGCCACACAUCACGCAGUGAAAAGUACUUCACAGAGCAAAUGUUACUCUUUACCAGUUACAGCACAAAAUAAACAUCUCUGAACAUCAGAAAGUAUCUUGUUUCAACUGUGGCAAGAUGUCAAUACACACCAUUUUUCAAGUUCAAGUCAAUCGACAUCAAUUGAUAAUCUACUCUCCUGUUUGGUUUGUUUGUCGGACAAAAAUGGCAGAUUUGGCAUUAUGAUUGGUCAGAUCGCCUGUCAAUCAAACUCCCUGCGAAGGAUCAAAUUGCAAUCAAAUCCAAUAAUACAAAAUCCCCUGAAAAAAGAGCAAUAAAUAACACAGCUCUUCAUCUUGGUAUAAAAAAAAAAAAAAAAAAAAAAUCUGCUGAUUUGCCAAAAAGGCCUAAUAUAAAUAAAGGAUAAGCUGAUGAUGCUGAGAUUAUUAUUAUUAUUAUUAUUAUUUUUUUUUUAAUACAAACAUGUUUUCGCCCUACAAAUUAAGAAUGAAGAUUUGUAAAAUUAUAGGCUCAUGUAUCAGCUAUAAUCCACUCAUCAAAAUAACAAAAGCAGUCAAAUGUCAAAAAUAUGUAUUCAAAAUGUAUUAUUUAACUUACAAUCUGCAAAGGAAUCAAUAAUGUGUUCAAAUACUCCAUUUGAUGUCAAAUAACUUUACAAAAUAAGCAAAAUAAAUGUGUUCACAAAAUUUGGAUGUACCAAAACUAAAUUUAGAAGAAAAUGGUCAUGUUUGCAUUUAUUUCUGUCACUGGCCAUAAUUUUAACUCUAAAAUCUGGAUUAGACAUAAAAUAAAGUAUUCAGAUUCAUUCACAAAGUAAAAUGAGUUAAAGCCAACAUGCAAUGAAAUGCAUCAUAUUUUAUGAGAAAAUGUGAUGUUUUCAAGCAAAACAUGUAAUUAUUUGUGGAUUUACCACCCCAAAAUUGGUAAGAAACUAGUAUAUGAUUUUAUUCUGCAAAUAUGAUACAUAGCGCUGUAAUCAAUUAAUGCAUAUGUUUGAAAACAAAUGUUUAUUUUUGACAGACGGCUGGACGGAAAUGGCUGGAGCAGCGGCAGCGUGUCUAGAAAAAAAACGUUGCAUUUGUCAACUGAAAUGUGCACUUAUUGCAUACUGGUAAGCUGAAAUGACUUACAGUAUUUGCCAUCCAAAUGCAUGUGUAGUUCCUCUGUGUGUAUACGAAUACAUUUUCCCUGUGCUUUGUCGCUCCAGAGCUGAUCUAUCAUUCCAGUGAUGGGUCUCCAGCUGGACCCACACACCUUGUGCAUAAUCCAGUCGCUGGAGAACAGCAGCAGGUAUUACUCACAAUCCCACUCAUGCCAUUACAUGUCACAGGGGAUUUGUUGAUGUAUAUGUUUACACUCAGCUACAUGUUUAUGUCUGCAUCCACUCAUGUUUGCACGUACACUGUAAAAUCUAAUAAGUUGGGCUUACUUAAAAAAAGCAUGCAAACCGAUUGCCUUGAAAAAACUAAGUAAAGUGAAAUAGGAAUAGUAUAUUGUACUGACAAAUGCUUAGUUAGUAUAGUUAACUUACACAAGAGUUCUAGUAACUAAAAAAGAACUGUAGGGGGUACUUGAACCUUUCAUUUAGGUUUACUCAUGACUUAGUAUAGCUACUCACUGACUCCCAGAAUGCAUUGCGCAGAAUAAAUUAUGUAGUUGCUUUGUUUUAAAGUUGUUGUUUUUAUUUGCCAAUUUUAUUUGCUGUCUUGUGUCAGUAGUAGCACAACAAAAAGAGCAAAUAAAAUGGCUAUUGUUACAAUUAAUGAAAAUAAAUUAAAUGUAAUUGUUACCAUCGUUGUGAUUCACGUGAUGAAUGUUUAAGUCUGUGUGUGACUUCAGCAUAGUACCACACACUAUUUAUGGACUAUAUAAAAAGCAUAUCAAGGUAUUUAUGAAAAAUAAAAUCUCAAAAAGGUCAUUAUUAAACGCACACAAAAAAAUGCUUUAAUUAAAAAAUAGGUCAUUUUAUAAAAGCAACCUAUUUAUUACUUUUCAUUGAAAUCAAAUAACUCUGAUUUCAUGAUGCAUUUCUCCAUUAAUAGAGAGAAAAUUAUAGUAACAUAAAUAAAGUUUCAAGUGCCCAACCAGAGGGAAUGCUAAUCACUAUAAUGGUGAGCUAACGGCAAUUAGCAACAUAUUAGUGCACUGCUGCCUCUCAUUGGUUUAUUAAUGUCAUUGGUUCCUUUGUGACUACUUGAAUAUUUUAAGUAAGUGUCACUCAAAACAGUAAGUAAAUUGUUUUAUUUGCCUUGAAAGUAGCUGAAACUUAAUAAAACCUAGUAAGUAUAACAACUAAGUAAAGAUAACUAAUUAAAUCUAAGUAAGGUAAACUGUUGGAUUUUACAGUGUAUGAGCGCGCUUGUCUAAAUGAAAUGCAAUGAACAAACUGUGCAGCCAAGUGUUUAUUUCUGUAAUCCCAUCCACAAAUCCAGAAUCAGACGUAAGCGAUGGUCAAAUAUGGACAAACUGUUUAGUUAGAAAUUGAUAAGCAGGAAUGUAGACAGCAAGGACAUGGAUUACACACGUUAAACAUUCAGAGCACCAGACACAGCAAUCAUGUGGAAGAGAGGUUUAUCAAAUGUGCAGAAGAAGGGGAAAAAAAUCUAAUCAAAUACAAUAAAUAAAUUAA
ensembl:lncRNA